UUCCCUUUCAGGACUCUGCAGACAGUGGGCCCAUCCCAUGCCCGAACCUACACUGUGGCUGUUUAUUUCAAGGGAGAAAGAAUAGGCUGUGGGAAAGGACCAAGUAUUCAGCAAGCGGAAAUGGGAGCAGCAAUGGAUGCGCUUGAAAAAUAUAAUUUUCCCCAGAUGGCCCAUCAGAAGCGGUUCAUCGAACGGAAGUACAGACAAGAGUUAAAAGAAAUGAGGUGGGAAAGAGAGCAUCAAGAGAGAGAGCCAGAUGAGACUGAAGACAUCAAGAAAUAAAGGAGGGCAUGCAAGUGUGGAGUAUUUACUUGCUCAGUAACUGUGACUGUUGUCUAUUGAGACCUAGCCUGCAGACAAUGAAUGAAGUGUGCUCAUUGAAAUAAAAUACAGAGUCAAAUCGCUAUUGUUGUUUUAAUGAUCUGUUUUUAGCUGGAUGGUCUUUAUUACAAAGUAUUAGAUUUUUCUUCUAUUUAAUGGAAAACUUGACUUUGGUGAAUGUGCAUUACUUCCUUUUAUUUUGCUCUUUAAAUAAUAAAAUUCAAGAAGCAUAUUCUA
rnacentral:sRNA from 1 species